rnacentral:tRNA from 1 species
ACCCGGUGGCCGAGCGGAUCGCCCUCGCCGCCCUCAAGCGGCGGUGACGGAAGCGCCGUUCGGCGCGGCGACCGCGACC